rnacentral:rRNA from 1 species
CACCGGCGGCCCGAGUGGUAACCGCUUUUAUUGGGUCUAAAGGGUCUGUAGCCGGCCAAGUAAGUCCCUUGGGAAAUCUGGCAGCUUAACUGUCAGGCUGCUAGGGGAUACUGCUAGGCUUGGGACCGGGAGAGGUGAGAGGUACCUUGGGGGUAGGGGUGAAAUCUUGUGAUCCUCGGGGGACCACCAGUGGCGAAGGCGUCUCACCAGAACGGGUCCGACGGUAAGGGACGAAAGCUAGGGGCACGAACCGGAUUAGAAACCCUCGUAGUCC